rnacentral:rRNA from 1 species
CGGGGGAUAACUUCCGAAAGGAGGGCUAAUACCGCAUAAGACCACGGCAAGUUCGCUUGCUGAGGUCAAAGCAGGCCUCUUCAUGAAAGCUUGCUCUUGAGGAUGGGUCCGCGGCCCAUCAGCUAGUUGGUAGUGUAACGGACUACCAAGGCUAAGACGGGUAGCUGGUCUGAGAGGAUGAUCAGCCACACUGGGACUGAGACACGGCCCAG